GUCAUUUUAAGCUGACAGGUUUGAUUCAUCUAGGGAUAAAAUAUGUGAAAUGGUUUCCAGGGGAUCAAGUACAUAUAUUUUCUGAAUGUUCUGAUACAGGAUCAUGAACAAUUGUAAAGUUUUGGUUUGAAAUAUGAUAGUAUAUGGGAUAACAGAAGAGCCUUUAACUCACAGUCAGGUAAAGGAGCUCUCCUCCUGAACCCUUUUCCUCACUCAGGUUUGAAAUGCCUCAUCUGUAAUGUUACCUGUAAUUGAUUAUUACCGUUGGUUUUCAGGUUCAGUCAAGGAUCACAUGGAAAACAUUAUCCUAAUUCUUUCCUCUCCUCUCCUAAGCAGCAUAUUUUACUGAGAAAUUUAAAAAAUUUAAAACUCCACUAGCAUCCUCUUCUGAAAUGAUUGUCCAUAAAUGAAUC
rnacentral:lncRNA from 1 species